GGCAUUUUAUUUUAUUAUUUUUAUUUUUUUUGAGACGGUGUUUCAUUUUUGUCGAUAAGAAAAAAAAAAACCUGAAAACAGAAAAGAGGGCUUUUACAAUGUUGAUGAACUCAUCUUAGAGUGCAUGAUUUAUAAAUACAUAAAUAUCCAUGCAUACUUUUACAGUGAUAACUCCUGGGAAAAUGAGAAUGUUAAAAAAGCCAAUCUAGACAGAGUCCUUCUCAUUCCACCUGCCUCUUUAUGUUGGUAAUACCAGGAGUCUUAAGAGAGCUGCUGUGGUCUAUGUCACAUUCAUCCCAGCCUCCUUUCUAAUCCUGUAGCUGAUGAUGAAAAUGUGAUAAAUCUUCUGGCUUAGCUUUGAUGCUUUUUCAUUAAUUCACUUCUGGUAGUAAAUUGUGGCAGGUCUUCCACUUCAAUCCCAUCGGCCAUUUCCAUCACCUUGUCUAAAAGGUCUUUAUUGUAACUGCAGCCUAGGAAGAGAUGGUUGGCCCAGACCAUGGAGAGGGAGAGCAGCUGGUCCAGGCGGCCACUGCCGUCGGGCGGGUCGCGGUAGUCGGGCAGGUGGCGCAGGAUGAAUUCCAUGCGGGCCUUCCAUUGCUUCUCGCUCUCUGAGUAGGAGCGGAACUGCUCCGCGAAGUCGGCCGCCUGCCGCACCCCCGAAACCAGCUCCUCCACUGCGGCAGCCGCCUCGCCACCGACCAUGGUGCCCGCCGCAGCCGAGGACCGGAU
rnacentral:lncRNA from 1 species